rnacentral:ncRNA from 1 species
UAGUACCUACGAACAGAAGAUGCCACAAGGCUUAAUAGGGAAUCCGGUGUCAUUCCGGAGCUGCCCCCGCAACUGUUAUCACUCGCGAAAUGGACAUUCCACUGUGCUAUGCACGGGAAGGACCAAAGUAAGAUCGAGUGUCAGCCAGGAGACCUGUCUUUGUUUGUCACAGUUU